ensembl:lncRNA
CUCACACAGGGAAGGGCUGCAAGUACAAAGUCCUGCACCAGACUGCAAUCUAUCAGAGCAACUUUCAGUUCACUCCAGCCUCUUUCUUUGGGUUGUUUUUGAUGGUUGACAUUUUUCUGUUCUAUUUGCGUAAGGAUUUUUUAGUUUUUAUAUUAUAAAACUGCAUCCAAGCUUCCUGGCGUGCUGUGCCCUACCCCUAAAAAGUGGGCUUCCUUUUGAAUGAAUGCACUCCUGCCACUUCCAUAAUCUCUGACUCAUAAUCCAUUGUACAGUUGGGAAGAGGCUGUGCACCACCCCUCAGUGAGAGUGAAUGUGUCCCACUCCUCCCUGUUCUGUGUGGAGACCUGGGGGACAGACCUUAAAUUCAGCUGGCUCCACGAGCGGGCAGCCAUAACCGAUGCUGUGGGACACGUUUCGCCUGAUGGGAAGACCCUCGUCGUCUCCUCCGCCCCCAUCUGUGGUCACUUCACCUGCAUGGUGAGCAACAAGCUGGGCCACAGCUCUGCCACCUACACAGCAGAGCCGUGUGAGAGAGAGGGCAAGAGGACCACGGUGGCGGUGGUCUCUCUCAUCAUCUUGCUGGUCUGUGGAGCAGCGCUCGCUUUUCUACUGUGGAGGAGACACAGGCGAUACAGUAACAGAGGCGAGAGGCUUCAGGAGCAUUUUGAGGACAACUUGUAAUGGUGAACCAUUGAUACCAGUACCCAAGGUAUUUCGCUACACUCCCCAACUCAAAGAUGGACUCAUAAAAGGACAGUAAGUGUACAAAACGCUUUGGGAGGAGCUUCCUUCCCUGUGAGCAGCAUGACCUUUCAGUGCAUUGGAACAAUGUGGAGAGUGAACUGCUUGUUGGCCAAUUGACGAGUUCUAAAAAUGGAAAGAGCAACUUUUGCCCGGUGUGUUGCCUGUUUUUGUAGUAGCUAUCAUUUUUACACCGCCUCGCAUUGUACUGAACUACACACUACUUUUUUUUAUAUAAUGCUCUAAAAUAAUUUGUUUUAAAUGAAAAACAAUUCCGUAUUUUGUAACUUUUGUAUAUUAUAAACAUUUUGUAUAUUUAGCUGUGUAUUCUUUGUAAUAAAAAGCACAUUUUAAACUGUGUGAAGCUUUGGUUAAAUUGAUCGCUAUUGUAAAUCCACAAUUCAGUCAGGGAAUGGGAGUCAAAGUACAAGACCUCUAUACAUAGUGAAUUUCAAAAUGAUUUGUGGCCAUGAAUAAAAGUGUGCGUGUGUGAGUUCAUGUGUGUGUCCACCUCAUCAGUACACCUCUCUGGUCAAGCCGGGCAUGGGGACGGCUGUCUCAGCCUCAGACAGGGUCUCCAGGAGCUGGCGGAUGAAGUCGCUGCACUGCUCCAGAGCCCCCCUGCUUCCUGGACAGGUCGUCUCCCAUACAGGCCUGUUGCUCCUCUAGGGACUGCAGAGAAUGCCUGGUACACAGUGUCACAGAACAGCAACACAG